rnacentral:rRNA from 1 species
UACAGAGGUCCCAAGCGUUGUUCGGAUUUACUGGGCGUAAAGGGCGCGCAGGCGGCUUAUUUUGUCAGGCGUGAAAGCCCCGGGCUUAACCUGGGAACUGCGUUUGAUACGGAUGGGCUAGAGUUCGGGAGAGGAGAGUGGAAUUCCCAGUGUAGAGGUGAAAUUCGUAGAUAUUGGGAAGAACACCGGUGGCGAAGGCGGCUCUCUGGACCGAUACUGACGCUGAGGCGCGAAAGCAUGGGGAGCAAACAGG